ensembl:Y_RNA Y_RNA Y RNA
GGCUGGCCCGAGUGCAGUGGUGUUUACAACUAAUGGAUCACAACCAGUUACAGAUUUCUUAGCUCCUUCUCCACUCCCACUGCCUCACUUGACUAGCCUUGA